rnacentral:rRNA from 1 species
GACGAACGCUGGCGGCGUGCCUAAUACAUGCAAGUCGAACGCAGUGGGGACGGGUGAGUAACACGUUGGUAACCUCCCAUCAGAGGGGAUACCCCUUGGAAACAGGUGCUAAACCGAUACUGAUGGAUGGACCCGGCUUGCAUUAGCUAGUUGGUGCGGUAACGGCUCACCAAGGCCACGAUUAAUAGCCGAGCGGAGAGGAUGAUCGGCCACACUGGGACGGAGACACGGCCCAGACUCCUACGGGAGGCAGCAGUAGGGAAUAUUCGGCAAUGGACGAAAGCCUGACCGAGCAACGCCGCGUGAGUGAAGAAGGUUUUCGGAUCGUAAAACUCUGUUGUUAGAGAAGCGGUAUCUAACCAGAAAGCCACGGCUAACUACGUGCCAGCAGCCGCGGUAAUAC